CAGAACGAACGCUGGCGGCGCGUCUUAAGCAUGCAAGUCGAGCGGCAAGGGGAGUAAUCCCCCUAGAGCGGCGGACUGGUGAGUAACGCAUGGGUGACCUACCUUGAGGUUGGGGAUAGCCGCUAGAAAUAGCGGGUAAUACCGAAUACGCUUGUUGGACUGUGGUCUGGCAAGGAAAGGGGCCUUGGCCCCGCCUGGAGAUGGGCCCGUGUCCGAUUAGCUAGUUGGUGAGGUAAAGGCCCACCAAGGCUGAGACCGGUAGCCGGCCUGAGAGGGCGAACGGCCACAUUGGGACUGAGAUACGGCCCAAACUCCUACGGGAGGCAGCAGCUAAGAAUAUUCCGCAAUGGACGCAAGUCUGACGGAGCGACGCCGCGUGGAUGAAGGAGGCCGAAAGGUUGUAAAAUCCUUUUCCGCACGAGGAAUAAGGGAGGGAGGGAAUGCCCUCUUGAUGACUGUANUGCGGAAUAAGCCCCG
rnacentral:rRNA from 1 species